CGGGUGAGUAACACGUGGGCAAUCUGCCCUGCACUCUGGGACAAGCCCUGGAAACGGGGUCUAAUACCGGAUACUGACCCGCUUGGGCAUCCAAGCGGUUCGAAAGCUCCGGCGGUGCAGGAUGAGCCCGCGGCCUAUCAGCUUGUUGGUGAGGUAAUGGCUCACCAAGGCGACGACGGGUAGCCGGCCUGAGAGGGCGACCGGCCACACUGGGACUGAGACACGGCCCAGACUCCUACGGGAGGCAGCAGUGGGGAAUAUUGCACAAUGGGCGAAAGCCUGAUGCAGCGACGCCGCGUGAGGGAUGACGGCCUUCGGGUUGUAAACCUCUUUCAGCAGGGAAGAAGCGAAAGUGACGGUACCUGCAGAAGAAGCGCCGGCUAACUACGUGCCAGCAGCCGCGGUAAUACGUAGGGCGCGAGCGUUGUCCGGAAUUAUUGGGCGUAAAGAGCUCGUAGGCGGCUUGUCACGUCGGUUGUGAAAGCCCGGGGCUUAACCCCGGGUCUGCAGUCGAUACGGGCAGGCUAGAGUUCGGUAGGGGAGAUCGGAAUUCCUGGUGUAGCGGUGAAAUGCGCAGAUAUCAGGAGGAACACCGGUGGCGAAGGCGGAUCUCUGGGCCGAUACUGACGCUGAGGAGCGAAAGCGUGGGGAGCGAACAGGAUUAGAUACCCUGGUAGUCCACGCCGUAAACGGUGGGGCACUAGGUUGUGGGCGAUGUUCCACGUCAUCCCUGGGGGCGCUAACUCAUUAAGUGGCCCCCCCUGGGCCAGUCC
rnacentral:rRNA from 2 species